rfam:Schistosoma mattheei strain Denwood, Zambia genome assembly, scaffold: SMTD_scaffold0009589
AUUUAGUUGACGAGUCCCAAAUAGGACGAAACAUGUGUCCUAAUU